GAUGAACGCUGGCGGCGUGCUUAACACAUGCAAGUCGAACGGAAAGGCUCCUGCUUGCAGGGGUACUCGAGUGGCGAACGGGUGAGUAACACGUGGGUGAUCUGCCCUGCACUUCGGGAUAAGCCUGGGAAACUGGGUCUAAUACCGGAUAGGACCACAUUUUGGAUGGUGUGGUGGAAAGUUUUUCGGUGUGGGAUGAGCUCGCGGCCUAUCAGCUUGUUGGUGGGGUAAUGGCCUACCAAGGCGUCGACGGGUAGCCGGCCUGAGAGGGUGUACGGCCACAUUGGGACUGAGAUACGGCCCAGACUCCUACGGGAGGCAGCGGUGGGGAAUAUUGCACAAUGGGCGCAAGCCUGAUGCAGCGACGCCGCGUGGGGGAUGACGGCCUUCGGGUUGUAAACUCCUUUCGCUAGGGACGAAGCGCAAGUGACGGUACCUGGAGAAGAAGCACCGGCUAACUACGUG
rnacentral:rRNA from 1 species